CGGGAACACUGGGCCCCGAGCUCGGGCCCGCGCCGGAGGAUCCUCCACGGAGCUAGAUGGUUGCGUCGGGGGCGGGAGCGGAGGUGAGCGGGCGCUAGGGCCGCGAGCCCCCGCCGGCUCUUCCUCCAGCGCCCUGCGAACGCCGCAGAGGGCGCCCGCCUCCCUAGCAAACGCGUAUCGAUUUUUCUCGCUGUGGCAACGGGGACGUCCCGGUAGAUCCUCUGCUCCAAUAGGCAACUCCGGCCUUCCCUGCCCUAACCUGGAACCUCUGGGAGGGCUGCAGAGUAAGUGCCGCCUCUGCGCUCCGACGGAGGCACGAGGCCUGUGGAGUAGGUCCCUCUGUUCCGACAGGUGCGACACUUGGCGCUCCAUGCCUGCGGGCGCGGGGAGGCCUGGCCUCCCCCAGGGCCGCCACCUCUGCUGGUUGCUUUGUGCUUUCACCUUAAAGCUCUGUAUCUUCCUCAUGUAUCAAGCGCACAGGUGGAAAAGGGCGGCACCACAUGGAAUGAGGGCAAGCGCUGUUCCGGGAAGUUGGAUGGGCAGAGCCUGGGAGAAAUGUUUUCUGAAUGGCCUGGGGCUGGCAUUUAUCUUUCCUUUAGCGAGCACCUCAAAUUUGCCAUGCUGGCUGGUGGAAGAGUUUGUGGUAGCAGAAGAGUGCUCUCCAUGCUCUAAUUUCCGGGCUAAAACUACCCCUGAGUGUGGUUCCACAGGAUAUGUAGAGAAAAUCACAUGCAGCUCAUCUAAGAGAA
rnacentral:sRNA from 1 species